CACCACCUCUCGGCACUAAGGCACCACCCUACGCCAUGUGCUCAUUUUUUUCAAUGUUAAAUAUAAUUCUCAUGAAAUAAUCUCUGUUGUCUUAUAUAGUGUUCCCUCAUUCUACCAUCAAGCUUAUAAGUAUCUGUAUCGCUCUCUAUGUUUCAAGUCUUCACAAUAUUUUCUAUUAUCGUAAGUCUCUUUACUUAGAAGUUCUUAGGCAACAUGUCAUAUACAUCACAAGUUAUGAAUAUAAGUAAAUAGUAAUAUCAUAGAUGUACUUGUAUAUUUUAAUAAGUGAUCAUUAUCGUUAUUCACAUGUCAUAGGACUUUAAGGCAUUAUUUGAUAAACAUCAAUGAUGGGAGGGUACAUAGGUUUUGCUUGGUAUAUCCAUUCGACGCAAUUCUGUGAUCAAUAUCAAGACCAUAGCAUUAUAGUGAGCCUAGACAUUGGGCGUACCUGUCUUUAUGGCAUUAUUUGUAUUUAGAGUCAGUUGAAAUGCCAUGCACCGGUUUCCCCUAACUCGAGCGAAUAUAUGGCAUAUACGACCUGCAAGCAGACCGACAGAGUAAGCCCUUGGGAGGAGGGGGGGAGGACGUACCUUAUAUCAGUCUGUGGUUUCAAUUUUCAUAUGAAAUCAUAGCAAUGAGUAUGUGAGCAACAUACGCUUUAGACUUGCCCCAGAUUGCCUUCGGUAGUCCAUCUUGUGAUCAUUUGUAUUACAUAUAGGUUAAAUGCAUCACCUAGGCCAAUUAUUGGUUGUAUAUUAUAACAAAUACAUUCACGGACAUUAUAUGAUGAACUAAAAAGGUUAGUGUAUAGGUUACAGUUUCAUAUCAUAUAUAUGUUACUUAUUUGCUCAUACGUCAUUCACUUUGGUAUUUGAUUCAUAUGAGUUUUCUCACCCAUCCAGCUGUUAUUUUAUCUACUUUCAUACCAAUAACAUACUAUUUAUGUAUUGACGUCUUGGGAACACCAUAUUUUAUUAAUGCAGGCUUAGAUCCUCAGGAUAACUGAUGUCCAUGUUGGGCCCUAUUGUCGUUUUCAGCUGAUAUUUUCGUGAGCUCCAUUUCUCAUUGGAGCCAGUCUAUGUGUAGUAUUUUUUAUUAUAUGUACAGGUUUCUACUUGGGUAUGUCAGGACAUUUGCCAACUGGUCACUUAUAAUAUAGCAUGGUAAACUGACCAGAGGCUUCACGGACAUCAUGCAAUAUUUUAUUGUACAAUUUUUGCUAAUAUAACUUCCUCGUGCAUAGAUACAACUCUUAUUGGAUAUACUACUAGUAAUUAUCCCAUAAUCUUGCAUACGUUAUAGAGUUCUUGUAAAGUAAGUGUAACACCCCAAGUUCUUGAACUUUAGACCCUUUAAGAGAUAAAUUAUUAAAUUAGCCAAGUUUCAGAAAAUGAUGUCAAACUACCAGUGGCAACGGGUUUGACAACGACUCAUUGCCAAAAUUCACAAGUCUUUAGGAGGACUCAUUGCCACAAUAGUGAGGAAGCCUAUACUUUGGUCCCUUGACAAAGAAUUUUGGAUACGACUCGUUGUUAGACACAACGAGUCGUUAUGAAGGACCCGUUUUCAUAAUAGUGAGGGACCAGAUUUUUGGUCCUCAGGUGACGACUACAGGUCAUGACUCAUGGUCAGACCUCAUGAGUCAUUACCCAAGUUGUGACGACUGUUCCUAUUUUUCCUAAAUAUUUUAAUAAGGUCUUUUUGGUCUUUUUAUCCCUUGAAACUCUUUUCCACGACCUAAGAACACUUAAAGGACCUCUUUGCCUUUAGUUAUUAAUAUUGAACUUACUCUUUUCCUCUUUAACUCCCAAGGCAAGAGAUACGAGGGUUUUACAAGGAAAUCUAACAUUCAAGCUCCAAACUUCAUAUUCCUCUCAAUUUUCUUUAUAUUUCACGCAUGCUUCUCAUCUCUAACUUAUAUUUUUACAUUAAGGUAUUUAUUUAAUCAUUAUUCAUGUGAUUUUAAUUGAUGGAUUUGAAAUUGGGCUGAGGAUUUUUUAUGGUUGUUACUUGGAUUGUUUUUAUCAUGAUUUAAAUGCGUUGAUCAUGCUUUAAUUUAUGAUUUUGGGACCUAAUGAGUGCAUUGUAUGAGGAUUGGAAUGGGGAACAUUCGUUUCCCCAAAUUGAUGGAUUUUUCUCUUAGUAUUGGCAUUAACCUCAACCCAUUUUGUGAACUUGGUUUUAGAUAUUAUUAUUCAUAAAGUUUAACUCACCUUUGAAACAUUGGUUUCCAUUAAAGGAUAAAUGGAUAAUGAAAUUGGUUUUGGAAUGCCCUUGGUGGCAAUGGAUUGGAUUUUAAAUAGAAAUUCGGAGUCAAAUGGUUAUAUGGAUUGGUUUGGGAUAAUUGAAUUAGCUUGCAAGCAUAUUGGUAUGACUAUACAACGUUGGGAAAUUACUUAAUAAAGACUCCUUGGUUAAUGGUUGGUUUUAUGUGUAAACUACUUUAAUUUAGGCUUAAAAGAAAUUGUGUAGCUAACCAUGAAGGUGUAGUCCCGGGGUGCCCAACUCUGUAAACCACGUUUGUUGAAUGGGGGCCUAUGGACCAUGUUCUUGGUGCACACUUUAUAUUUUGGAUGGCUAUCUCCUUGGUGUCUUUAGCUUUUUAUCGUUUUCCUCGUUACGUGUAGCUAACAUGCAUUGGGGCCCUUCCGGCAUGGGGAGUCAGAGUCAUAUAGCCCAUGGAUGCUUUUAGGCCAGAUCAAGCUACAUAGUUCAGGUUAAUAUUUUAAACCCUCAUGUUCAUGACUCUUGUCCCUAUCCCGACAUCCUAUAUAUGUAUAUAUAAAUAUUGUGCAUCUGGUUUUAAAUGGUUUUCUUUAAUGACAUUAUUUUAUCCCUUUUCCCUGAGUUACAUGCUAGUGCUCACCCCACUGACCGUCCCUAAACGCUGCAUCUUUUUAUGAUGUAGGGUACAGUGGAUUUUCUGUUACUCCUGUGCAGCGUUAGGUGGUGUGGUACGUUGGUUGAGUUGUUGUGAAGUUGUGAGCCUCUAUCACUAGGAAAGCCC
rnacentral:lncRNA from 1 species